AAACGUGAAGAAAAGUCGUUUAGUUUUUUUACCCUGACUCAGCAGGUCGAGCACAUCGUGUAGGCCGACUCCUGUCCUCAACUCACAAACCACAAGCGGAGAACAGAGAGAAGGGCUUUUUUUAUUUUUAUAUAUCUUUAUUUUUUUUUGCAUUUCUUGAAUGCAAUUCAACUCUUGUCACUCAGCGCCAGAGAUAAUUCAGAUUUUCUUUCUGAUAUCUGCACUGCGCCAGCCAAGUUAAUAAGAAUACGCCUACUUUUGCUCAAAGCUGAAACCGUUGGACCGAUAAGGAGGAAAAAUCUCGUUGUGGAGGAGAAAGUGAAAAAAGAGACGGAGAAAGAAAGAAAGGAUUUUAUUGCUUGUGCCAGCAGGGGAUGCACCACCCGGCCCCACAUUCAGAUCCCUCAAGAGGUUGUGAUUCAAUGAGGGGAUGUCAGUCUGUCCCGCAGCAGACACACAACAAGGAGGCUUUCAGCAGGCUACCAAGGAUUUGUAGAGCCCUUUUCACACACAUUGUCACAGAGGGAUUUACAGAUGCGGGAAUCAACCCCUGGGCCUUCCUGUUGGGAGCACCGUGCCACACUGUGUAUCUUCCCUACAAGACAAAAGGUUCCAAGCUUGAACCAGAAGAGCAGCCUUUACACAGGCAUGGCAACGCUGACCAAACAAGUAAACAUUCAUGUUCAAUAUUUUGCCACCUUCUCCAUUAUCUUUAUAACAAUUGUCCUCAUAUGUCAUCAAAUUCUGCGUUCGGUCUUUACAUUGCACUUCAUAUUGACUGGUAGUCGUGUUUUUCUCAACAUUAAAGUUUCCUCACAACAAAUGUCUGCUUGAUUUAGUUAGUGUUGGUGUUGUUUCCAGCCAGCAUGUGCAAUUAAGCACGUUAACCCAGGUUGUGGAUAUGCUGUUUAUUAGUCAUUCCACCUACGCUUUUCAUUUAUGCAGCUGUUUCAUCUCCAAAAAUAAAACAGAAUCCUAAAAAGUUUUUUAAGCAAAAUACAUUUUGUCAAACAUUAACAGAUGUUUGUUAGAGAUUGUAAUUAUCAUCUACAUCAAAAACGCCAGGAGGGAAUCAAAAUGUUACUUUCUCACAGCGUUUGACAUGUAGGAAACGCAAACUGACUGAAUAUGCAGAAGCUCUCCAGCGCU